rnacentral:rRNA from 1 species
CACCAGACUCCUACGGGAGGCAGCAGUGGGGAAUAUUGCACAAUGGGGGAAACCCUGAUGCAGCGACGCCGCGUGAGUGAAGAAGUAUUUCGGUACGUAAAGCUCUAUCAGCAGGGAAGAAAGAAAGUCCUUUGGACUUUGGACGGUACCUGACCAAGAAGCCCCGGCUAACUACGUGCCAGCAGCCGCGGUAAUACGUAGGGGGCAAGCGUUAUCCGGAUUUACUGGGUGUAAAGGGAGCGUAGACGGCAGCGCAAGUCUGGAGUGAAAGCCCGGGGCCCAACCCCGGGACUGCUCUGGAAACUGCGUCGCUGGAGUACGGGGGGGGCAGGCGGAAUUCCUGGUGUAGCGGUGAAAUGCGUAGAUAUUAGGAGGAACACCAGUGGCGAAGGCGGCCUGCUGGACUGCAACUGACGUUGAGGCUCGAAGGCGUGGGGAGCAAACAGGAUUAGAUACCCCUGGACU